AUUCUAGAGAGAGCUGAGAAUUAUGAAGGCUUCCAAAGCAGUCAUCUCCUUUUUUUUGUUAACUCUCCUGUUGUUCUCCGACGUGUCUCGAGCUGCUCGGCCGGCGCCGGUUGGAGCCGAUUUGGCAAGAACUCGACCCGAGGGUGUUGAUGGGGAAGUAGAGAAGGUAGAGGUGGAGCGGGGCUGCGAAGGGAUUGGAGAAGAGGAGUGCUUGAUGAGAAGAACCCUCGAAGCUCACCUUGAUUACAUCUACACUCAGAA